rnacentral:rRNA from 1 species
AGAGUUUGAUCAUGGCUCAGAACGAACGCUGGCGGCAGGCUUAACACAUGCAAGUCGAACGGUCUCUUCGGAGGCAGUGGCAGACGGGUGAGUAACGCGUGGGAAUCUACCCAGAUCUUCGGAACAACUGAGGGAAACUUCAGCUAAUACCGGAUACGCCCUACGGGGGAAAGAUUUAUCGGUUCUGGAUGAGCCCGCGUAAGAUUAGCUAGUUGGUGGGGUAAUGGCCUACCAAGGCGACGAUCUUUAGCUGGUCUGAGAGGAUGAUCAGCCACACUGGGACUGAGACACGGCCCAGACUCCUACGGGAGGCAGCAGUGGGGAAUAUUGGACAAUGGGCGAAAGCCUGAUCCAGCCAUGCCGCGUGAGUGAUGAAGGCCUUAGGGUUGUAAAGCUCUUUCAGUAGGGAAGAUAAUGACGGUACCUACAGAAGAAGCCCCGGCUAACUUCGUGCCAGCAGCCGCGGUAAUUC